UGUACAUACAUAUUUCGUGUUUAGUUCUUCGUUUCGAUGUAUCGGCUGUUUUGAACGACUUUCAGUCGUUUUAACAGCGCGAUUCUUAUUACAAAUCGAUUAAUCGCGAUUCCACGAUUCAUCACGUUCGUGCCGUAAGAAGCAUUAAGGUUAGUAACGUCGUGCGAUCUGGGUUGCCCUAGCAACGAAAAAAAAACGCGCGAAUAACACCCAUACUUGCUGCACAGUUCUCGCGAUUCCAAUACGCUUCGUGCCGUUUUUAUUGCUUAUGAAACUUCUCGAUAGUCUUUACGAAGCUUCCUACCACUACGAUAAUCAAGUGAAAUAUAAAGCUUGCAUUAAAAAAUCAAAAUAAAGAGAAAAGCAAGCCUUUAUCAAUAUACGUUUGUACUUUACAAAACAGCAGAUGCUUUGAAACAAAGAAAAGUGCACGACCAGAGUUCCUGUAGGAUCACCUUAUAUAUACAUAUAGGUUAUACAUUAACACGCAUGAAUAUAGUAAAGGCAUAGAUGAAGGUGAGUCAUAGUCAAAGGAUGCUUCGCAGAUGGUUCAUGCAACAGAUAAGGCUCGUUAAAGACAACUACUGGAGCAAUUUAAAUAAUAAUCGUAGAUGGCAUGAAUAGUCAAAGAUGAAAAAGAUAUUUUCUCUUAGUAAAAAUAGCUACUGGGAAAUCGUUAGACAAAAGGUUAACGUUCGAAGUUGAAUAAUUAAUUGUAAUGAAGUAUGUGCAUAGAAGUCAGAAACGUACAAGAUCAAAGUAAGAACUACACACGGAGGAAUUUUCAUGAAACAUUGAUGUAUCUAUGCAGGUUGGUCGCUAGUAAAUACGAUUCAUUGUUGAGCCGAUAAAUAGGUUAGAAUAUCAACAAUUUCUCAUUACGUAAAAAGUCACUGGCUCAGCGAAUCCUAUCCUAAUCUGAGACGAUCGCGCGCACUGCGGUUCUUCGGUUCCCACAAUCUGUCCAGCGUAUUAUGAUUAUCCCGCUGUCGGUCACCGUGCCGACUUUCAGAACACACGAAAAAAUGUCGGAUUCGAUGCGAGACGAGCGGCAGCUAUAUGUGCUUUUAACUCCUUGUUCACCUUUGACUUUCUCUUAUGAAGAAAAAGAGAAUAUUCUUGUUAAAAAUUCAACUGGAAAUAUUGGAAAUACAGUAGCGUGCAGGUUAUAUAGCGCGGUGAAAGAAGAAUUUGCUUCGCGUUAUUGCGCGUUGUCACGCUACGUUUAAUAUUAUUUUUCUAUUGAGGUUAAGAGGUGUAUCAUGAGUGGAAUUGUUUUUAUGCGAACUGACUGACAGUCGAAAUAAACCUAUGCUUGUCGUUCAAUCUAAAUAGACUUUUGCCGGUUAAAGUAGAUCAUGGAUAUUUUGUACGGCAAAUCUAAUAUGUAACUUACGUUUCAAAGUAACGAAUUCAAAGUAAAAUGUUAUUUUUCGUUAACUCUUCCAAAGUGACAAUGAACUUAGUUUAAAUAGUGUCCACGAAAGAACAGUCGUAGUAUGUGUAUAAGUCGUAAUUUCAGAAAUAUCUAAUAAUCUUGAAGUUUAUAAACUCAGAGAAGAGAUUACAAUGAAAAUGCUUCUUGUUCGGAUGCUUCAACCAUAAUCCAUCACAAGCAUGACUCGAUAUUAUAAGACAAGGCUAAUUUUACUUUAGCGAGGUUAUUCUUCCGUCUUUUAAGCCAGCGAUAAUGGUUAUGGUAACCGGAUCGGUUGCCGGCGCGAUAGCCUUGAGAGAGGGUGCGUUUCACGAGGUGCCCGCAUAGUACGGCGCGUGUACUUCUCGAUUUCUUUGAAUUUUGUCUCGUAGCUAGACCGAAAGUCUACCCUCGUUGUUAGGGAACAUGCACGUAAAGAAGAGACACGUAAUACAACGAAACGACGACGCCGCGAGAGACAAGCGUGGAAAGAGGCUGCUAUACACACCCGCAUGCGAUCCCGUACAAACCGUAACCUUACACGAACGUCGCGCCAAGUGUGUACUGUGUAUCGAUCCCGAGAGUACACACGAAGACAGCUCUGAGCGCCACCACGUUCUCUCUCUGUCUCUCGUAGGAGAGGCGCUGUCUCUUGUUGUUGCUUUCGUUAGAACGCCGACGGUUACUUAGACCCGGUACGUAUUUCAAGCAUGAGCUUGGAAAGAAAUUAUUGAAACUCAAUCACACACCACACCAAUCUCUUCGUUUCCAUGCAACAUCGGCUAACAAUGAGAACAAGGACAUGGUUAAAGGCUUUUCUCGCGACUUAUUCGCCGGCUCCGUAUACCGGUUAUGAUCGUCGAAUAAAUCCAAAGGAUACGUAUCAUUGUUAUGUAUUUAGGUAGUUAUUAAGUAAAAAAGUUCUCUUACCUUAAUUUUCAGUGAAUAAUCUGAACACUGACACACAACGAUACAACACACACUCCACACCCGACGAAGGUUCGAGCUCGACUGAAAGUCUUCGCGGAGUGAGUUGGCGGGUGGCGCCACGGCCAAUCCCAACGUACUAACACGCAAUUCCAUCUUCCUCGUAAGACGUAUGUACAGUUCGCUCCGACGAAUUGUUCCGCUCGAGGUAAAUAUCGGAGAGAAAACACUCCUCUUGUUCUGCACACCCUUCGAUUAAACGCUCGAUGACAUUGUUUGCUGUCUCUAACCCUAUCCAAGAUCCCAAUUGUGCCCUGACGUGUUGAAUAAGAGAAGCUUCGUGAUAUUCUCGUAAAUUGAAACGAUCUAUUCGAGCAGACCGUGCAAUAUACGAGCCACUUGACUCUCUUUGCUCUACUAUGCAAGGAAUAUGUAUGAAUUUCGAUGUAUUAUGAACAGCGAUACGUUUCAUAGCUUAUGCUUAUGGAUUUCUCGUAUCUCUUCGCGUACACAAUAAACGUGCAGAGUGUGCUGCAUUAUACAUGCUGUGAUUUAAAUAUUCCUAAGCGCCUGAUAUCGGUAUGAAUCGAAUUGAGAAUCGAGAUAUUGAAGAUAUAGAUUACAUUAUCGAUUAUUACAAGAUAAAUCCUGAUAUUAUUUUUAAUCUUUUCUCUUCAAUAUUAAAAAUUUCUGUAUUAACUAAUUUAACCUUAACAUUGAUCGAUUCAAAUAAUAGUAAUAAUGUAACAACGUAAGUGACUGUAAUUUGAUGAAAUAUCACAACUGUAGUUAGCUAUUAGAUCUACUAAUAAUCAAUACAUCGUAUGAAAAGAUGGAAUACAAUGCGAAAACGCUAGAUAAGUUUAAGAAGAUUUAGAUUUUAGAAUUUAUUUUCACAUGCCUGUAUUUCUUUCUUAUGAUCUUAUAAAUUGUUUUCGUCGUAUAGUUAAAAAUAAGUUGCGAUUAUAUUAAAUUAUCAACUGUCGACAAUUCAUGAAUGAAAAUGUUAAAGUUCCUUAAGAAAUAAAAUUCUAUUUAACAA